rnacentral:rRNA from 1 species
UACAGAGGUCCCGAGCGUUGUUCGGAUUCAUUGGGCGUAAAGGGUGCGUAGGUGGCGCUGUAAGUGGGGUGUGAAAUCCCGGGGCUUAACUCCGGAACUGCAUUCCAUACUGCGGUGCUUGAGGACUGGAGAGGAGACUGGAAUUUACGGUGUAGCAGUGAAAUGCGUAGAGAUCGUAAGGAAGACCAGUGGCGAAGGCGGGUCUCUGGACAGUUCCUGACACUGAGGCACGAAAGCCAAGGGAGCAAACAGG